AUUGAACGCUGGCGGCGUGCUUAACACAUGCAAGUCGAUCGGUAACAGGUGUAGCAAUACAUGCUGACGAGAGGCGGACGGGUGAGUAAUGCUUGGGAAUCUGCCUAUUAGUGGGGGACAACCCGGGGAAACUCGGGCUAAUACCGCAUACGCUCUACGGAGGAAAGCCGGGGACCGCAAGGCCUGGCGCUAAUAGAUGAGCCCAAGUCGGAUUAGCUAGUUGGUAGGGAACGGCCUACCAAGGCGACAAUCCGUAGCUGGUCUGAGAGGACGACCAGCCACACCGGAACUGAGACACGGUCCGGACUCCUACGGGAGGCAGCAGUGGGGAAUAUUGGACAAUGGGGGCAACCCUGAUCCAGCGACGCCGCGUGGGUGAAGAAGGCCUGCGGGUUGUAAAGCCCUUUCAGUAGGGAAAGAAAAGCCGAGUGCUAAUAUCACUCGGUCUUGACGUUACUUACAGAAGAAGCACCGGCUAACUCCGUGCCAG
rnacentral:rRNA from 1 species